rnacentral:sRNA from 1 species
GCCCGGGACCACCGGAGAGGUGGCAGAGUGGUUGAAUGUACCUGACUCGAAAUCAGGCAGGCGUUUAUAGCGCCUCGGGGGUUCGAAUCCCCCCCUCUCCGCCAGAAUCGACAAGGGGCUGCGUCCUGGACGCAGCCCUUUUUUGUGGGUUUUCGCGUACGUCCGGCCCGGCCGCACGAGGCGCGAGA